ACUAUCGGGACGGUCACAGGCCGCGCGUGUCGCUCUGUCUGCCCGCCACUACCAGAGGACGCCAGACGACCGUUUCCCGCGCUCUCCCAUUCAGCCCCGGAUACAACAACACAUUCCCGCCACAAGGGGAAGUCAUUUCACGGGGGAUAACUCUGCAUAACGACUUCGCUUUGCCCGGUUCCUGAUGGAGAGUUAUUGUUCUGGGAUUACUUUGAUGGUCAUUACACGCUGCCAUUUUCCAGACACAAGUGUUAGAUAUUGCUGGACCUAAUAAAGCGGGAAGCUACACGUGCAUACUACGGUCUGCUAAGAGAUAGUUUAGUUUUACAUCUCUGCUUAGUUAUAAUUUAGGUUCAGUUAAAAACUAUCAGAUUAAUUUUCAGGGUAGGUUGACUUAAUGCUAAUCUAUAGUUAAAUUGCGUUGUCUGCCCAGGUUCAGCUUAGUUUAGUUGUUUGAAUACUCGUAAUUUCAAUUAUCUGUCUACUUGGUACUAAUCGAAUUCAGUAGUCAGCUUUGUUUUUGCUUACUUAAAAAAACAACAACUUGUUUUCUUCGUUUUAGUUGAAUUUAGAUGUCUGCUCGCGCAUGACAAUCCUUACCACAAAAGAGGAAAUAAUGAUCUUGUUUUAGGUGAACAGUAUUGUCAGGAAUUAUCCACACAAGUUAUGACAAAAUGAAAGAAGAAUUACCCCAAACUGCUUGUAACCAAUUAAUGUUUUAGAACUACAUGUAAAUAUAUUUUUUUUAAUCUAAAAAAGGCUACUCAGAUUAAUGAAGAGAAAUAAUUUUGCUCAGACAAAUAGAUUAUGAGGCUAAACGUUUGGGAUAGUAUCCAUAAGACGGGUACCUCUGGAAUUUUAGAAUUUGCUGAAUUUGUGCGACUUUUUUUCAUUCUAAGUUAAGGUCAAGCCUCGAAAAUCGAUCUCUUUGGAUAUUUUCCCUUUUCCAUUAAGCUUACUUGGGGUGUCGCAUACGGGAUCUGUCUUCCACAGGAAGUAGUACUCCAGGGGCAGACACGUUUUGUUCCAAUACAGAAUAGGCUCAGAUAAAUUGUACAACACGUUUUACGUGUUUUGGGAUUUAGCUAGUUACCUUUAUUUAGGACUGUUCGGAUUGGUUGCAACAAGGACUUAUUACUCUUUCAUGGAUGUGUGCUUCUAAAAUUGAGGAACUCACAGAAACAAUAAGAUAACUUUAUCUAACGUCUGCGAGAGGAGUAACGGUCUGCAUCUCUAGACCCCAGAAAAACAAAAACAAAACAUGACAAGAUUUGUAGGCCUGGACCAAGAUGGAAAUCAGAACGUAAUUAUCUCCAAACCCCUACCCGCAACCCACCCAACCCACCCCUAUCCUUUUCCACACCCCUUAUUUCCCGCCUCAGCCAGUUCCGUGGAUUGCUUUCGCGCGGUCAUUCACCCCUGAGAAGUGGGCGUUCACCAGAAGGCUCGGCAGACUAUCUCUGAUUUCGAUCUGGCUUCUCCAGAUAGUUUCGUGUUUUAGUUUUUAGGUUUCGUGAGAUUUUUCUGGCACGCAUAUAGGGUCAUAGAAGUGUCGAAAAGUCGAUGUUUUAUUAGAGAGUAACAAGCAAACAAAAAGAAGGAGGAUUCAUAAGGGCAAUAGAUGUUUGAGAGGAAAGAAGGAACAAACCACACCAAAGCACCCGCCAACUACCCAGCAGAUUUGUUGAAAGUGUUAAGAUGGACAGUUAAGAGGGGAAAGAAGUUCGGUGAGAAAGAAGAGUUCUCACACAUAGAGUCGGAAUACAAGUAUAAUGUAUAAAAAUUAAGUCCGAAUAUCGAGAAAUUCGUCAAUCGAGGGCAAAAAAAAGAGUUCCUGUCAUGAUGGUGGCAACCGUUCUGCACACAAAGAAGGAUAUUUACACACACAAUAGAAAUACAAGUACACCAGUGCAAACAAACUACAAAACCCAACAAGUCCGUAGUUCGAGAAGUUAUUAUAUUCAGUAAAUUGAGGAAUAACGAUUGACCUUCCGAGUAAUUUGAACAGAGCUGAAAAACCGUAUACUGUAAGUAAGUCGCUCCUGUAAUUGCUUCAUUGGGGAGGUGAUUGUCCCGUUGUGGCUACAAUCCUGGGUGUUUUCAUUCUUGGAUAAUGAGAUAGGUGUCCUGUGCGGAUUAAGCUAGUGUAUUAUUUCAAAUUUUUCCUUCUUCAGAUCAAACGAAGUCUCCCCCCCAAAAAAACAAACAAAAA